rnacentral:rRNA from 1 species
AGACGGAGGAUGCGAGCGUUGUCCGGAAUCAUUGGGCGUAAAGAGUUCGUAGGUGGCAUGUCAAGUCUGGUGUUAAAGCCCGGAGCUUAACUCCGGUUCGGCGCUAGAAACUGACAAGCUAGAGCAUAGUAGAGGCAAGGGGAAUUCCCAGUGUAGCGGUGAAAUGCGUAGAUAUUGGGAGGAACACCAGUGGCGUAAGCGCCUUGCUGGGCUAGUGCUGACGCUGAGGAACGAAAGCCAGGGGAGCGAAUGGGAUUAGAUACCCCAGUAGUCCUGGCCGUAAACGAUGGAUACUAGGUGUGGCGGGUAUCGACCCCCGCCGUGCCGCAGUUAACGCGUUAAGUAUCCCGCCUGGGGAGUACGCACGCAAGUGUGAA